GCCUAAUACAUGCAAGUAGAACGCUGAAGAGAGGAGCUUGCUCUUCUUGGAUGAGUUGCGAACGGGUGAGUAACGCGUAGGUAACCUGCCUUGUAGCGGGGGAUAACUAUUGGAAACGAUAGCUAAUACCGCAUAACAAUGGAUGACACAUGUCAUUUAUUUGAAAGGGGCAAUUGCUCCACUACAAGAUGGACCUGCGUUGUAUUAGCUAGUAGGUGAGGUAAUGGCUCACCUAGGCGACGAUACAUAGCCGACCUGAGAGGGUGAUCGGCCACACUGGGACUGAGACACGGCCCAGACUCCUACGGGAGGCAGCAGUAGGGAAUCUUCGGCAAUGGGGGCAACCCUGACCGAGCAACGCCGCGUGAGUGAAGAAGGUUUUCGGAUCGUAAAGCUCUGUUGUAAGUCAAGAACGGGUGUGAGAGUGGAAAGUUCACACUGUGACGGUAGCUUACCAGAAAGGGACGGCUAACUACGUGCCAGCAGCCGCGGUAAUACGUAGGUCCCGAGCGUUGUCCGGAUUUAUUGGGCGUAAAGCGAGCGCAGGCGGUUUGAUAAGUCUGAAGUUAAAGGCUGUGGCUCAACCAUAGUUCGCUUUGGAAACUGUCAAACUUGAGUGCAGAAGGGGAGAGUGGAAUUCCAUGUGUAGCGGUGAAAUGCGUAGAUAUAUGGAGGAACACCGGUGGCGAAAGCGGCUCUCUGGUCUGUAACUGACGCUGAGGCUCGAAAGCGUGGGGAGCGAACAGGAUUAGAUACCCCUGGUAGUCCACGCCGUAAACGAUGAGUGCUAGGUGUUGGAUCCUUUCCGGGAUUCAGUGCCGCAGCUAACGCAUUAAGCACUCCGCCUGGGGAGUACGACCGCAAGGUUGAAACUCAAAGGAAUUGACGGGGGCCCGCACAAGCGGUGGAGCAUGUGGUUUAAUUCGAAGCAACGCGAAGAACCUUACCAGGUCUUGACAUCCCGAUGCUAUUUCUAGAGAUAGAAAGUUACUUCGGUACAUCGGUGACAGGUGGUGCAUGGUUGUCGUCAGCUCGUGUCGUGAGAUGUUGGGUUAAGUCCCGCAACGAGCGCAACCCCUAUUGUUAGUUGCCAUCAUUCAGUUGGGCACUCUAGCGAGACUGCCGGUAAUAAACCGGAGGAAGGUGGGGAUGACGUCAAAUCAUCAUGCCCCUUAUGACCUGGGCUACACACGUGCUACAAUGGUUGGUACAACGAGUUGCGAGUCGGUGACGGCGAGCUAAUCUCUUAAAGCCAAUCUCAGUUCGGAUUGUAGGCUGCAACUCGCCUACAUGAAGUCGGAAUCGCUAGUAAUCGCGGAUCAGCACGCCGCGGUGAAUACGUUCCCGGGCCUUGUACACACCGCCCGUCACACCACGAGAGUUUGUAACACCCGAAGUCGGUGAGGUAACCUUUUGGAGCCAGCCGCCUAAGGUGGGACAGAUGAUUGGGGUGAAGU
rnacentral:rRNA from 1 species